rnacentral:misc_RNA from 1 species
AGAGAGAGAGAGAGAGACAGACAGCAAUGGUAGAAUACUCAACCUUUUAGGAUUUGUCUUCGUUUCCUCUUAGAGAUUGAUAAAAGUAUUAAUCUCCGUGUACCUGUUCUUAUGUUAGCUUUCUGGGUAUUCUCCAUUUCCCUUCAAAAUCACCUAGUUUCAUUGUCCAUUUCAACAAAUACCAUUUCACUCUUUAGUUGUUGACAUGUGAAAGUCUUAGUUUUGUGUCGGAUUUCGAGGUACAUUGAAGUUCUUUUUUCUUCUUUUUCUGGAUUUUAGUUCUUCCAAGUUAUGGCUAUGGGGGACGACAACAUCAAGCUUUGCACUAUCUUCUUCUUGUUUUUUGUCAAAUUGUCUUACAGUGUUACAGAUCCCAAUGACCUUAAGGUACUGAUGGCUUUCAAGAAUGGAUUGGAUAAUCCUGAGCUUCUUAAAUGGCCGGCUAACGGUAAUGAUCCAUGUGGUCCUCCUUCAUGGCCUCAUGUGUUCUGUUCUAAUGGUCGAAUCACUCAGAUUCAGGUGCAAAAAUUGGGUCUUAAGGGAUCACUCCCUCAAAACUUCAACCAGCUUUCAAAGCUCUAUAAUAUAGGCCUCCAAAACAACCACUUCAAUGGCCAUCUGCCCACCUUUAAAGGAUUAUCUGAAUUGCAAUUUGCAUUUUUGGAUUUCAAUGAAUUUGAUACAAUCCCAUCAGAUUUCUUUGAUGGGCUCAGUAGUAUACGUGUUUUGGCGUUGGAUGAAAAUCCUUUCAAUCAGAGUACCGGAUGGUCUCUUCCUAGUGAGUUGGCAAAUUCUGUUCAAUUGACAAAUCUUUCUUGUUCAGGAUGCAAUUUAGUUGGUCCACUGCCGGAUUUUCUGGGCAAUUUGUCGUCUCUAAAUGCUUUAAGACUUUCAUAUAAUAGACUAUCAGGUCAAAUUCCAGCGAGUUUUGGGCAAUCUUUGAUGACGGUUUUGUGGUUGAAUAAUCAAGAAAGAAAUGGCAUGAGUGGUUCAAUCGAUGUGAUUGCAAAAAUGACAUCGUUGAGGCAGCUAUGGCUUCAAGGAAAUUCGUUCACUGGAACAAUCCCGGAGAAUAUUGGAGGUCUUUCAUUGUUGAAAGACCUUAAUCUUAAUGGAAAUCAACUUGUUGGUUUUGUUCCUCAGGGCUUGGCUGAUAUGGUGCUGGAUAAUUUGGACUUGAACAAUAAUCAUCUAAUGGGUCCAAUACCAACGUUUAAGGCUGGUAAGAUUUCCUAUGAUUCCAACUCUUUUUGCCACUCCAAACCUGGUGUUUUAUGUGCCCCUCAAGUUAAUGCACUUCUGGAUUUUCUUGGUGGGUUGGAUUAUCCAUUAAGUCUGGUUUCUCAAUGGUCUGGUAAUGAUCCCUGUCAAGGGCCAUGGUUGGGAUUGAAUUGUGAUUUAAAGUCAAAGGUCUAUGUUAUAAAUUUGCCUAGACAUAAUCUUACUGGUACUCUUAGUCCUUCCAUUGCAAAAUUAGAUUCACUGGUUCAAAUUAAUCUCGGAAAAAACCAUAUCAACGGUACAAUUCCUAGCAACUGGACCAAGUUGAACUCUUUGAAAUUGUUAGAUGUUAGUGGAAACAAUCUUAGUCCUCCUUUUCCCAAAUUUCAGAAAAGUGUGAAGCUCAUUAUCGUUGGAAAUCCACUUUUAGUUAGUAAUCAGAGUCAGCAAACCCCUUCCCCUACUAGUAGCCCACCCUUUGGGAUUUCACUUCCUCCAUCAAACAACCGAUCUGGUAGCGCACAACCAUCAGCAUCCACUACUCCACCUCCUCCAACCAAGAGCUCAAACACUAAUUCAUCUGGUUUCAUCCUGUCUUCAUACCAAUCCAACAAUUCCAAAAGAACAAAACUACUAAUUGCAGGUGGAAUUACAGCUGGUUCAUUAUUGGUUCUUGUGGUGAUAGCUUUGUCCAUAUAUUACCUCUUCAAGAAGAGAAAAGAAACCUCAGAGCUUCCUAGUUCCAUUGUGGUUCACCCUAGAGAUCCAUCUGAUCCAGAAAAUAUAAUUAAGAUUGCAGUUUCAAACAACACCAUUGAGAGCCUAUCCACGCAAACUGCCACUAGUUCUGGAAGUAAUGCUACCAGUGUGGUGGAGAAUUCUCGUGUACUUGAGGCUGGAAACCUGAUCAUAUCUGUUCAAGUUCUUCGCAAGGUGACCAAAGGUUUUGCACCAGAAAAUAAGCUUGGGCAUGGUGGGUUUGGCACUGUCUACAAGGGUGAAUUGGAAGAUGGAACAAAAAUAGCUGUUAAGAGAAUGGAAGCUGGGGUUAUAGGCAGUAAAGCUUUGGAUGAAUUUCAGGCUGAAAUUGCUGUUCUUUCAAAGGUCCGGCACCGACAUCUGGUUUCUCUGUUGGGGUACUCUAUUGAAGGCAAUGAAAGGCUUCUUGUCUAUGAGUAUAUGUCUCAGGGUGCCCUGAGCAGACAUCUUUUCCAAUGGAAAAUCCUGAAUUUGGAGCCUCUGUCUUGGACAAGAAGGCUGAGCAUUGCACUUGAUGUAGCCAGAGGGGUGGAGUAUCUUCAUAGUAUGACUCGGGAAACCUUUAUUCAUCGAGAUCUCAAAUCUUCCAACAUUCUUCUAGAUGAUGAUUUUCAUGCCAAGGUUUCAGAUUUUGGAUU